rnacentral:rRNA from 1 species
UACAUGGGGUGCAAACGUUGCUCGGAAUUAUUGGGCGUAAAGCGCACGUAGGCGGUUCGUUAAGUCGGAUGUGAAAGCCCUCGGCUCAACUGAGGAAGUGCACCCGAAACUGGCGAGCUUGAGUACGAAAGAGGAUCGCGGAAUUCCCGGUGUAGAGGUGAAAUUCGUAGAUAUCGGGAGGAACACCGGUGGCGAAGGCGGCGACCUGGGUCGAUACUGACGCUGAGGUGCGAAAGCGUGGGGAGCAAACAGG